UACGUAGGGUGCAAGCGUUGUCCGGAAUUAUUGGGCGUAAAGAGCUCGUAGGCGGUCUGUUGCGUCGGAUGUGAAAAUCCAGGGCUCAACCCUGGACCUGCAUUCGAUACGGGCAGACUAGAGUAUGGCAGGGGAGACUGGAAUUCCUGGUGUAGCGGUGAAAUGCGCAGAUAUCAGGAGGAACACCGGUGGCGAAGGCAGGUCUCUGGGCAUUAACUGACGCUGAGGAGCGAAAGCAUGGGGAGCGAACAGG
rnacentral:rRNA from 1 species